rnacentral:rRNA from 1 species
GGGCGCAGGAGCNACCGAUGCAGUCGAGGGGCAGCAUUCUGUGCUUGCCAGAGAUGGCGACCGGCGCACGGGUGCGCAACGCGUAUGGAACCUGCCCCUGUCGGGGGAAUAGCCCGGGGAAACCCGGAUUAAUGCCCCGUAGUAUCCCGUAGCGGCAUCGCUUUCGGGAUUAAAGAUUUAUCGGACAGGGAUGGCCAUGCGUACCAUUAGCUGGUUGGCGGGGUAACGGCCCACCAAGGCGACGAUGGUUAGGGGCCCUGAGAGGGGGAUCCCCCACACUGGUACUGAGACACGGACCAGACUCCUACGGGAGGCAACAGUGAGGAAUAUUGGACAAUGGGCGGAGGCCUGAUCCAGCCAUGCCGCGUGCGGGAAGACGGCCCUACGGGUCGUAAACCGCUUUUGUACGGGAAGAAACCUGUCUACGUGUAGAUAGCUGACGGUACCGUAAGAAUAAGGACCGGCUAACUCCGUGCCAGCAGCCGCGGUAAUACGGAGGGUCCGAGCGUUAUUCGGAAUCAUUGGGUUUAAAGGGUCCGUAGGCGGGCCGUUAAGUCAGGGGUGAAAUACUGCGGCUCAACCGUAGAGGUGUCCUUGAUACUGGCGGUCUUGAGUGACGGUGGGGCGGCCGGAAUAUGUGGUGUAGCGGUGAAAUGCAUAGAUAUCACAUAGAACACCGAUCGCGAAGGCAGGUCGCCAACCGUGUACUGACGCUGAUGGACGAAAGCGUGGGGAGCGAACGGGAUUAGAUACCCCGGUAGUCCACGCCGUAAACGAUGGACACUAGCUGUCGGGCCUUUGGGCUCGGCGGCCAAGCGAAAGUGAAAAGUGUCCCCACUGGGGAGUACU